rnacentral:rRNA from 1 species
UACGUAGGGUGCAAGCGUUUGUCCGGAAUUAUUGGGCGUAAAGAGCUCGUAGGCGGUUUGUUGCGUCGGCUGUGAAAUCCCGAGGCUCAACCUCGGGUCUGCAGUCGAUACGAGCAAACUAGAGUGUUGCAGGGGAGACUGGAAUUCCUGGUGUAGCGGUGAAAUGCGCAGAUAUCAGGAGGAACACCGGUGGCGAAGGCGGGUCUCUGGGCCUUACCUGACGCUGGAGGCGACGAAAGCCUAGGGGGAGCGAACAGG